rnacentral:rRNA from 1 species
GACGAACGCUGGCGGCGUGCUUAACACAUGCAAGUCGAACGGAAAGGCCCUGCUUUUGUGGGGUGCUCGAGUGGCGAACGGGUGAGUAACACGUGAGUAACCUGCCCUUGACUUUGGGAUAACUUCAGGAAACUGGGGCUAAUACCGGAUAGGAGCUCCUGCUGCAUGGUGGGGGUUGGAAAGUUUCGGCGGUUGGGGAUGGACUCGCGGCUUAUCAGCUUGUUGGUGGGGUAGUGGCUUACCAAGGCUUUGACGGGUAGCCGGCCUGAGAGGGUGACCGGCCACCUUGGGACUGAGAUACGGCCCAGACUCCUACGGGAGGCAGCAGUGGGGAAUAUUGCAAAAUGGGCGGAAGCCUGAUGCAGCAACGCCGCGUGCGGGAUGACGGCCUUCGGGUUGUAAACCGCUUUCGCCUGUGACGAAGCGUGAGUGACGGUAAUGGGUAAAGAAGCACCGGCUAACUACGUG